UACGGAGGGAGCUAGCGUUGUUCGGAAUUACUGGGCGUAAAGGGCUCGUAGGCGGCCUGCUAAGUCGAACGUGAAAUCCCUGGGCUCAACCCAGGAACUGCGUCCGAUACUGGUUGGCUUGAAUCCGGGAGAGGGACGUGGAAUUCCAGGUGUAGCGGUGAAAUGCGUAGAUAUCUGGAGGAACACCGGUGGCGAAGGCGACGUCCUGGACCGGCAUUGACGCUGAGGCGCGAAAGCCAGGGGAGCAAACGGG
rnacentral:rRNA from 1 species